rnacentral:rRNA from 1 species
GACGAACCGUGCGAACGUUGUUCGGAAUCACUGGGCUUAAAGGGCGCGUAGGCGGCUCGCGAGGUCGGGGGUGAAAUCCCACGGCUUAACCGUGGAAGUGCCUUCGAUACCGGCGGGCUGGAGGAAGGUAGGGGUGCGCGGAAUUCCUGGUGUAGCGGUGAAAUGCGUAGAUAUCAGGAGGAACACCUGCGGUGUAGACGGCUUUCUGGACCAUUGUUGACGCUGAGACACGAAAGCGUGGGUAGCAAACAGG